rnacentral:pre_miRNA from 1 species
CUACUCCUCCCUCUGUCCAACAAAAGAUGUCUCAAGUUUGUCAAAAUUUGGAUGUAUCUAGACAUAGACAUGACUUGGUGCAUAGAUGCAUUCAAAUUUAGUCAAAGUUGAGACAUCCUUUGUUGGAUGGAGGAAUACAAU